rnacentral:rRNA from 1 species
GACGAACGCUGGCGGCGUGCCUAAUACAUGCAAGUCGAACGCUUCUUUCCUCCCGAGUGCUUGCACUCCAUUGGAAAGAGGAGUGGCGGACGGGUGAGUAACACGUGGGUAACCUACCCAUCAGAGGGGGAUAACACUUGGAAACAGGUGCUAAUACCGCAUAACAGUUUAUGCCGCAUGGCAUAAGAGUGAAAGGCGCUUUCGGGUGUCGUUGAUGGAUGGACCCGCGGUGCAUUAGCUAGUUGGUGAGGUAACGGCUCACCAAGGCCACGAUGCAUAGCCGACCUGAGAGGGUGAUCGGCCACACUGGGACUGAGACACGGCCCAGACUCCUACGGGAGGCAGCAGUAGGGAAUCUUCGGCAAUGGACGAAAGUCUGACCGAGCAACGCCGCGUGAGUGAAGAAGGUUCUCGGAUCGUAAAACUCUGUUGUUAGAGAAGAACAAGGACGUUAGUAACUGAACGUCCCCUGACGGUAUCUAACCAGAAAGCCACGGCUAACUACGUG